GGAAAUUACAGCAGCAAGCUUGUCCUGAAAAGGAAAGUAUGCACUGCUAUGCUCUUGUGAUGGUUUUCUACUAAGACUUUUCCAUUCAAAUCUAAUGCAUAAUUAAUUGCAGGAUGUGAUAAACCUUCCCAGAUUUAAGAUAAAUUCCAUAAUACUGAACAAUAAACCAAACUUACUAGACCUCCAGAUGUCUUUUUAAAAUGCUUGUUUCACAGAAAUUUAAUUAGAUUGAUUAGGAUUACUGAGCUGUGCAUAUGAGAAUCCCCUAAAGGCUUUUCCUUCUCAAGAGAGGUUUCUACAAUAAUUAAACUGUAGCAGGACACUCAAUUGGAACUUUUAAUGGUCACCCCUGCCAACUAACGAGGGAGAAAAGAAAGCAGAAGAUAUAACUUCCAAAAGCAAUGCAAGCAGAAAAACACGUUCUUUAAAAUGAAGAGAUGACCUGGGAAAAGAUAAAAGGAACACUGAUUAUUUAAGUAUUGAAAAGGUUGCUGAAAUCUCCCAUAGCAGAGAAGCAGUAGAAGCACUGACAUAAUGGAAGCUGCUGGCAUCAAGACCAUCUCAGUGAAAACUUCGGACAGCUUUCCAAUCUGAAUGCAGUGCUGUGAUCCAUCUCGGUCACUGGGGUGACUCAUUCUCUCUCAUUUUAUUGAACGUAACAAUAUACCACAGCCAAUUUCAUGUACAGCAGGACUCUGGCA
rnacentral:lncRNA from 1 species